AUUGAACGCUGGCGGCAGGCCUAACACAUGCAAGUCGAGCGAGCGGCGGACGGGUGAGUAAUGUCUGGGAAAAUGCCCGAGGGAGGGGGAUAACUACUGGGAACGGUAGCUAAUACCGCAUACGAUCAGAUGUGCCCACAUGGGAUUAGCUAGUAGGUGGGGGAACGGCUCACAUAGGCGACGCUCCCUAGCUGGUCUGAGAGGAUGACCAGCCAAACUGGAACUGAGACACGGUCCAGACUCCUACGGGAGGCAGCAGUGGGGAAUAUUGCACAAUGGGCGCAAGCCUGAUGCAGCCAUGCCGCGUGUAUGAAGAAGGCCUUCGGGUUGUAAAGCACUUUCAGCGGGGAGGCGUUACCCGCAGAAGAAGCACCGGCUAACUCCGUGCCAGCAGCCGCGGUAAUAC
rnacentral:rRNA from 1 species